rnacentral:lncRNA from 1 species
UCGCCGCUUAUGUCAUUCCAGAAUCGGUGGAAAAAAGCAGGAUUAAGACCGUCAGGUCCAGGUGAUUUAUCUGGAUGCAUACUGAAAACAGCAUCCUUGAAUUCUUGCUCGGUGAAAGGUUGUGUGAGAAUGUUGUUAUCUUCUUCCGAAACUCGGGGCUGAACACAUGAAAUGAUUGCUUGCUGAUCGCCCUGCUUCUCUCUAAAGAUGGAAUUGAAAUAGUUUCGGACCAGAGUGCACAUAUCAUCGUGAGCUGUUACCCAAUUGCCAUGUUCGUCACGAAGCUUUUUUAUAGUGUUUUUACGCCGACGGGCUGAUGCUGAAGCGUGAAAGAACUUGCUGUU